rnacentral:rRNA from 1 species
UCGGGAAUUUUGCUCAAUGGGCGAAAGCCUGAAGCAGCAACGCCGCGUGAGGGAUGACGGCCUUCGGGUUGUAAACCUCUUUUCUCAGGGACGAUGAUGACGGUACCUGAGGAAUAAGCCACGGCUAACUACGUGCCAGCAGCCGCGGUAAUACGUAGGUGGCGAGCGUUGUCCGGAUUUACUGGGCGUAAAGAGCGCGCAGGCGGUCGUGCAAGUCGGAUGUGAAAGCCCCCGGCUCAACUGGGGAGGGUCAUUCGAUACUGCUCGACUUGAAGGCGGGAGAGGGAAGCGGAAUUCCCGGUGUAGUGGUGAAAUGCGUAGAUAUCGGGAGGAACACCAGUGGCGAAGGCGGCUUCCUGGCCCGUUCUUGACGCUGAGGCGCGAAAGCUAGGGGAGCAAACGGG